rnacentral:rRNA from 1 species
AGAGUUUGAUCAUGGCUCAGAUUGAACGCUGGCGGCAUCCUUACACAUGCAAGUCGAACGGCAGCACGGGGGCAACCCUGGUGGCGAGUGGCGAACGGGUGAGUAAUACAUCGGAACGUGCCCAGUAGUGGGGGAUAGCUCGGCGAAAGCCGGAUUAAUACCGCAUACGACCUACGGGUGAAAGCGGGGGAUCGCAAGACCUCGCGCUAUUGGAGCGGCCGAUGUCAGAUUAGGUUGUUGGUGGGGUAAAAGCCCACCAAGCCGACGAUCUGUAGCUGGUCUGAGAGGACGACCAGCCACACUGGGACUGAGACACGGCCCAGACUCCUACGGGAGGCAGCAGUGGGGAAUUUUGGACAAUGGGCGAAAGCCUGAUCCAGCCAUGCCGCGUGCGGGAAGAAGGCCUUCGGGUUGUAAACCGCUUUUGUCAGGGAAGAAAUCUUCCGAGCUAAUACCUUGGGAGGAUGACGGUACCUGAAGAAUAAGCACCGGCUAACUACGUGCCAGCAGCCGCGGUAAUACGUAGGGUGCAAGCGUUAAUCGGAAUUACUGGGCGUAAAGCGUGCGCAGGCGGUUAUGCAAGACAGAUGUGAAAUCCCCGGGCUUAACCUGGGAACUGCAUUUGUGACUGCAUAGCUGGAGUACGGUAGAGGGGGAUGGAAUUCCGCGUAGCAGUGAAAUGCGUAGAUAUGCGGAGGAACACCGAUGGCGAAGGCAUCCCCUGGACCUGUACUGACGCUCAUGCACGAAAGCGUGGGGAGCAAACAGGAUUAGAUACCCNNGUAGUCC